GCUGGGUUGAUGUAAUGGUAACAUGGGUGCUUUGUAAGCGCUUCACGCAAGUUCGAGUCUUGUACCUAGCUCCA
rnacentral:tRNA from 1 species